ensembl:lncRNA
GCCUCCCUCGCCGCUCCGAGCCAAUGAGAGCGCGCACCGCGCGGUAGGCUGAGAUGGCGCUAUAGAACGUUUGUCCAAUGGUAGGCGGCGUAUUCCGCGCGGCGCCAGUCGCAGAGGCGCUAGGGCGAUGUUGCGUGGUGAGGGGCGGGUGCGUGGGGUGGGCGCCGGUCGGGUGGGCGGAUGGGGCGGUGCCCGCUCGGAGCGGCCGCCGCGGGGUACUCACGUCCCACCUGCGGAAGGUGGGGCUAGCUCUGGAGGAGUUCCUUGGUGGCCUUGAGGACCUCAGACUUAACCCGGCCGCUGGAGCCAUCCCGGCGGACUGGAAGUGCACGGGCUAGGAGAGCAAGAAGGACGUGACAGGCGGGCGAACCUGACGUAAUUAGUGAACGAGGGCUAAAGAAAAAGAAGUCAGUAGGUGGAGAUGGGGCACACCUUUAGUCCCAGAACUCGGGAGGCAGAAAGAUCUCUAUUUAUUAUUAUUUUGUCAACAUGUAUGUCUGCACUACGAAAGAGGACACUGGAUCCCAUGAAGCUGCAGUAAUAGACAGUGGUGUCCCUCCCUGAUGAUUGCAUGCCAAGAUGAUCUGGUCUUCCCAUCCGUUGUUGUUUUCAGGUGCACUAUGUCUUUGGACCAUCUCCAUGAGUAAGGAAUGAGGACGCUGGGAAUAUAGUGAAGACCAAGAGACUUCCCGACCAGGAAACACCCAGGCAGAGGACCCAUAUUGUGUAAAGCAGAGCACCUGCAUCCUGUACCUUCUGUACCUGUGCUUACUGAUUCACGGACAGCAUGUGGCUUCAUUCUGAGUUCAGGACACUUGAGACUUGGAAGUUCAGUUUUGAAAAGUUUUCUUCAGCUAGAAGCUCCAGAAGCCCAGAAGGUACAAGAUUGAGGGGAUACAUCUGGUGAGAGUCUCUUGCUGUGCUCUAACAGGGCAGCUGGUGUAGCUUGGUGGACAAGCAAGAGCAGAGAGUAGGCAUACAUACUAGAGAUGCAAAAGGAACCAUGCAUUUUCUGCUCGUUCUUUCAUUCUUUCGUUCGUUCACUCAUUCAUUCACCCAUUCAUUCAAGGGAGCCAUGCAUGCACACUUAUUUUUGUGUUUAUGUAUUUGGUUAUUUGAGAUGGGUUUUCUUUGUGUAUCCCUG